GACGGGGCCGCACAAGCGGUGAGCAUGUGGUUUAAUUCGAUGAUACGCGAAAACCUUACCAGGGCUUGACAUUUAGUCGACGUUCCGAGAGAUCGGAAUUCCCUUCGGGGCGGCUAAACAGGUGCUGCAUGGCUGUCGUCAGCUCGUGUUGUGAGAUGUUGGGUUAAGUCCCGCAACGAGCGCAACCCUUACUGCUAGUUGCCAACAGGUUAAGCUGGGGACUCUAGCGGAACUGCCGGUGACAAACCGGAGGAAGGCGGGGAUGACGUCAAGUCCUCAUGGCCCUUAUGUCCUGGGCUACACACGUGCUACAAUGGAUUGUACAAAGGGUAGCGAUACUGCAAGGUGGAGCCAAUCCCAAAAAGCAAUCCGUAGUUCAGAUUGGAGUCUGCAACUCGACUCCAUGAAGCUGGAAUCGCUAGUAAUCACAGAUCAGCAUGCUGUGGUCGAAUACGUUCCCGGGCCUU
rnacentral:rRNA from 1 species